AUUGAACGCUGGCGGCAGGCUUAACACAUGCAAGUCGAGCGGGGAAGGGUAGCUUGCUACCUGACCUAGCGGCGGACGGGUGAGUAAUGCUUAGGAAUCUGCCUAUUAGUGGGGGACAACAUUCCGAAAGGAAUGCUAAUACCGCAUACGCCCUACGGGGGAAAGCAGGGGAUCUUCGGACCUUGCGCUAAUAGAUGAGCCUAAGUCAGAUUAGCUAGUUGGUGGGGUAAAGGCCUACCAAGGCGACGAUCUGUAGCGGGUCUGAGAGGAUGAUCCGCCACACUGGGACUGAGACACGGCCCAGACUCCUACGGGAGGCAG
rnacentral:rRNA from 1 species